CAGGAAAGUGACAGAACUUGUAAUACAUAUCCUGUUGUCAAAUACCAAUCUUAGUCUUGUGCAGAAAGGGCGCAUAGCAUCUACCCAGUCCUCUGUGGGGUGUAGCAAAUCCUGGAUCUUGUGGCUGCUGUGGAAGACAGGCUGGACCCCAACCUGGUUGAACAUGUUUACCAAUCUGUUUCAGAACCAACAAAUUGCUGCCUUGCUGAUGACGGUACAACAACAUCUGGCUGCACAAGCAGUGUCGGGGGCACAAUAACAGAAGCCCACUGACUGACACACCCAACAAGUGCCGCAAACCAGCAUACCACUAUUCCAGCAAUUUCAUGACACAGAAGAGGAAUGGCAUGAAUACCCAACAAAGUUCCAAGCUCAUUGUGCAGUUCAUCACAUUCAAGGAUGGACGUGAAUCAGGAGAAUACUGCAAUUGUGGCAGAUGAUCGGCGCAGACAAUGUUUGCCGCUCGCACCAUAGAAGCUGUAUGUGAUGUACAAGGAGCAAGCACACAUUAUUCUUUGAUGGUGUAAUGACUGUAAUUGUUAUGAACAAAUGAAAUAUGAUUUGACUAGAGACUCUUAAUUUUGGUGUUAGACUUGCUAGAAGCAAGAACUGUCUUUGAAUUUCUGAUGGUUAUUAAACUCACCACAUUGUAAAUAUACUUAAUUGUAUC